UGGGGAAUUUUGGACAAUGGGCGAAAGCCUGAUCCAGCAAUGCCGCGUGUGUGAAGAAGGCCUUCGGGUUGUAAAGCACUUUUGUCCGGAAAGAAAUCCUUGGCUCUAAUACAGUCGGGGGAUGACGGUACCGGAAGAAUAAGCACCGGCUAACUACGUGCCAGCAGCCGCGGUAAUACGUAGGGUGCAAGCGUUAAUCGGAAUUACUGGGCGUAAAGCGUGCGCAGGCGGUUUGCUAAGACCGAUGUGAAAUCCCGGGCUCAACCUGGGAACUGCAUUGGUGACUGGCAGGCUAGAGUAUGGCAGAGGGGGGUAGAAUUCCACGUGUAGCAGUGAAAUGCGUAGAGAUGUGGAGGAAUACCGAUGGCGAAGGCAGCCCCCUGGGCCAAUACUGACGCUCAUGCGCGAAAGCGUGGGGAGCAAACAGGAUUAGAUACCCUGGUAGUCCACGCCCUAAACGAUGUCAACUAGUUGUUGGGGAUUCAUUUCCUUAGUAACGUAGCUAACGCGUGAAGUUGACCGCCUGGGGAGUACGGUCGCAAGAUUAAAACUCAAAGGAAUUGACGGGGUCAUGCGUUUCCU
rnacentral:rRNA from 1 species